rnacentral:rRNA from 1 species
AUGGGCUCCCUCUUCCUUCCAUGGCCGCUGCCUUCCGCCGUUUGUCCUCUCCCGGCCGCUCGUCGCCGACCCCCGGAGCACCACCACGCGCCGCUCGCCGUCCCAUCCUCCUCGUCUCAUCACGUCCGCCUCCCUCCUCCCCUUUCUUCGCUCAGUGAGCUCCGUCUCACUCAAACUGACCUCGCCCGAGCGCACACGCCAGCGUCGACGCGCAUCGUGCCCCGUCCAAGAACUGCCCCACCGGAUGCCGACGCCGCGGCGGCCCUCAUGGUCGCCCGCGCGGAGGCCGGCGACUUCGUGCGGGCUCAGUCCAUCUGGGCGCAGCUCCUGCUCAGCUCCGCCGCGCCGUGCCUGACUGCCGCGGCGCCCCGCCUCCUCCCGGCGUACGCGCGCGUCGGCCGCUACGACGAGGUCCUCCUCGCCGCGAGGGAGCUCGCCGCGCGUGACCCCGCCGCGGCGCGGGACCUCUACCCGCUCGCCGUUUCCUGCCUCGGCGCCGCCGGCGAGCUCGCUCUCAUGGAGGACGCCGUGCAGGAGAUGGCCCGCGCCGGCCUCGGCGUCGACUCCGCCACCGGCAACGCCUUCGUGCGGCACUACGCAGCCUCCGGCACCGUCUCGGAGAUGGAGACGGCGGUCGGCCGGCUCAAGAAGACCGGCCUCCUCAUCUCCGUCGACGCCAUCCGCGCCGUCGCUUCGGCGUACAUCGCCCACCGGAAGUACUACAAGCUCGGCGAGUUCGUCAGGGGCGUCGGCCUCGGCCGCCGGGACGCCGGCAACCUGCUCUGGAACCUCUACCUUCUCUCCUUCGCGGCCAACUUCAAGAUGAAGUCGCUGCAGCGCGCCUUCCUGGAGAUGACCGCCGCCGGGUGCCGGCCGGACCUCACCACCUUCAACAUCCGCGCCGCCGCCUUCUCCAAGAUGUGCAUGUUCUGGGACCUCCACCUCACCGCCGAGCACAUGCGCCGCGACGGCGUCGCGCCGGACCUCGUCACGCACGGCUGCUUCGUGGACGCCUACAUGGAGCGCCGGCUCGCGCGCAACAUCUCCUUCGCGUUCCGCCGGCUGGACGGCGGCGCCGAGCCUGUCGUGGCCACGGACGGCGUCGUGUUCGAGGCGUUCGGCAAGGGGGGCUUCCACGCCACCUCCGAGGUACUGCUAGAGGCGGCCGGCGGGAAGCGGCGAUGGACGUACUACGACUUGCUCGGCGUCUACCUGAGGAAGCAGCACAGGAGAAACCAAAUCUUUUGGAACUACUGA